rnacentral:rRNA from 1 species
AUUGAACGCUGGCGGCAGGCCUAACACAUGCAAGUCGAGCGGAUGAAGGGAGCUUGCUCCUGGAUUCAGCGGCGGACGGGUGAGUAAUGCCUAGGAAUCUGCCUGGUAGUGGGGGAUAACGUCCGGAAACGGGCGCUAAUACCGCAUACGUCCUGAGGGAGAAAGUGGGGGAUCUUCGGACCUCACGCUAUCAGAUGAGCCUAGGUCGGAUUAGCUAGUUGGUGGGGUAAAGGCCUACCAAGGCGACGAUCCGUAACUGGUCUGAGAGGAUGAUCAGUCACACUGGAACUGAGACACGGUCCAGACUCCUACGGGAGGCAGCAGUGGGGAAUAUUGGACAAUGGGCGAAAGCCUGACCCAGCCAUGCCGCGUGUGUGAAGAAGGUCUUCGGAUUGUAAAGCACUUUAAGUUGGGAGGAAGGACAGUAAGUUAAUACCUUGCUGUUUUGACGUUACCAACAGAAUAAGCACCGGCUAACUUCGUG